rnacentral:misc_RNA from 1 species
UUCGCUGAAAUUGUUAGUCACAUUCCUCAAAACCUGAAUAGAAAUCACCAUAUUCCCGGCCUCAACUACAUGGACAUCCCUCGGACCACUGCUUGUCUGGCUGUAGGUCUCGCUCGCUGCCACUGGACCGCCAUUCAAGCUCGACCCCGCCACCGUAACCUUCACCACAUCCGGGUCCGAUCCCGAAUGCCUUGGAUGCACCACUGUCGUGGUAUUCGGGCUCUGAACUCUAGCCAUAGGAUGCUGCCUCCGCUUGUAAUAACAGAGACCCAUGAAUCCAAUCAAUGCCACUCCGCAGAUAACUCCCAGCACCGAACCAAUAAUAACCCCAAGCGAAGGCGACGAAGACUUCUCACUGACACUACCAUCCACUCCCGCUGCACCAGUCGGAACUGAGGCAUUUCCACCUACCGGAGCCGCACUGGACCCCGGACCCACCGGAGUAGUACUCACAUUCUUCCCGAUAUCCCGAUUCCCAGCGGUGUUAACCAGCACAUUGCUG